ACGCUCGACACCUACGGAGGCAGCAGUGAGGGAUAUUCGGCAAUGGGGGAAACCCUGACCGAGCAACGCCGCGUGAGGGAAGACGGUUUUCGGAUUGUAAACCUCUGUCCUCUGUGAAGAUAGUGACGGUAGCAGAGGAGGAAGCUCCGGCUAACUACGUGCCACAGCCGCGGUAAUCUGAGCGGGCUGGCAAGGC
rnacentral:rRNA from 1 species